rnacentral:rRNA from 1 species
ACGGGAGGCAGCAGUGGGGGAUAUUGCACAAUGGGGGAAACCCUGAUGCAGCGACGCCGCGUGAGUGAAGAAGUAUUUCGGUAUGUAAAGCUCUUUAAGCUGGAAAGAUAAUGACGGUACCAGCAGAAUAAGCCCCGGCUAACUACGUGCCAGCAGCCGCGGUAAUACGUAGGUGGCAAGCGUUAUCCGGAUUUACUGGGUGUAAAGGGCGCGUAGGCGGGGGUGCAAGUCAGAUGUGAAAUCUAUGGGCUUAACUCAUAAACUGCAUUUGAAACUGUAUCUCUUGAGUGCUGGAGAGGUAGAUGGAAUUCCUUGUGUAGAGGUGAAAUGCGUAGAUAUAAGGAAGAACACCAGUGGCGAAGGCGAUCUACUGGACAGUAACUGACGCUGAGGCGCGAGAGCGUGGGGAGCAAACAGGAUUAGAUACCCUGGUA